rnacentral:rRNA from 1 species
AUUGAACGCUGGCGGCAUGCCUUACACAUGCAAGUCGAACGGCAGCACGGGGGCAACCCUGGUGGCGAGUGGCGAACGGGUGAGUAAUACAUCGGAACGUGCCCGGUAGUGGGGGAUAGCUCGGCGAAAGCCGGAUUAAUACCGCAUACGACCUACGGGUGAAAGCGGGGGACCGCAAGGCCUCGCGCUAUUGGAGCGGCCGAUGUCAGAUUAGGUUGUUGGUGGGGUAAAGGCCCACCAAGCCGACGAUCUGUAGCUGGUCUGAGAGGACGACCAGCCACACUGGGACUGAGACACGGCCCAGACUCCUACGGGAGGCAGCAGUGGGGAAUUUGGACAAUGGGCGCAAGCCUGAUCCAGCCAUGCCGCGUGCGGGAAGAAGGCCU